rnacentral:rRNA from 1 species
CCUACGGGUGGCUGCAGUGGGGAAUAUUGCACAAUGGGGGAAACCCUGAUGCAGCGACGCCGCGUGAGUGAAGAAGCGUUUCGGCGCGUAAAGCUCUGUCAGCGGGGAAGAAACACGGUUCGCGAGAGCCGCGGCCGGUACCCGACCACGAAGCCCCGGCUAACUACGUGCCAGCAGCCGCGGUACUACGUAGGGGGCAAGCGUUAUCCGGAUUUAUUGGGUUUAAAGGGUGCGUAGGCUGUCGGAUAAGUUAGAGGUCAAAUGUCGGGGCUUAACCCCGUGCCUGCUUCUGAUACUGUUCGACUAGAGAGCGGAUGCAGCAGGCGGAAUGAGUAGUGUAGCGGUGAAAUGCUUAGAUAUUACUCAGAACACCGAUUGCGCAGGCAGCUUGCUAAGCCGCAUCUGACGCUGAUGCACGAAAGCGUGGGUAGCGAACAGGAUUAGAUACCCCAGUAGUC